rnacentral:rRNA from 1 species
UACAGAGGGUGCGAGCGUUGAUCGGAAUUACUGGGCGUAAAGGGCGCGUAGGCGGUUACAUGAGUGUGCUGUGAAAGCCCCGGGCUUAGCCUGGGAAGUGCAGUGCAAACGAUGUAACUGGAGUAGAUGAGAGGGUGGUGGAAUUUCCGGUGUAGCGGUGAAAUGCGCAGAUAUCAGGAAGAACACCUAUGGCGAAGGCAGCUCUCUGGGACGGUACUGACGCUGAGACGCGAAAGCGUGGGGAGCGAACAGG